UUGUUCCUACGGGGGGCAGCAGUGGGGAAUAUUGGACAAUGGGGGGAACCCUGAUCCAGCGACGCCGCGUGAGUGAAGAAGUAUUUCGGUAUGUAAAGCUCUCUCAGCAGGGAAGAAAGAAAUGACGGUACCUGACUAAGAAGCCCCGGCUAACUACGUGCCAGCAGCCGCGGUAAUACGUAGGGGGCAAGCGUUAUCCGGAUUUACUGGGUGUAAAGGGAGCGUAGACGGCGAUGCAAGUCUGAAGUGAAAGGCGGGGGCCCAACCCCCGGACUUCUUUGGCAACUGGAUAGCUGGAG
rnacentral:rRNA from 1 species